rnacentral:rRNA from 1 species
UACAGAGGGGGCAAGCGUUGUUCGGAAUUACUGGGCGUAAAGGGCGCGUAGGCGGCCUUCUAAGUCGAACGUGAAAUCCCCGGGCUCAACCCGGGAACUGCGUCCGAUACUGGAAGGCUUGAAUCCGGGAGAGGGAUGCGGAAUUCCAGGUGUAGCGGUGAAAUGCGUAGAUAUCUGGAGGAACACCGGUGGCGAAGGCGGCAGCCUGGACCGGCAUUGACGCUGAGGCGCGAAAGCCAGGGGAGCAAACGGG